UACGAAGGGGCUAGCGUUGCUCGGAAUCACUGGGCGUAAAGCGCACGUAGGCGGACUCUUAAGUCGGUGGUGAAAUCCUGGAGCUCAACUCCAGAACUGCCUUCGAUACUGGGAGUCUCGAGUCCGGGAGAGGUGAGUGGAACUGCGAGUGUAGAGGUGAAAUUCGUAGAUAUUCGCAAGAACACCAGUGGCGAAGGCGGCUCACUGGCCCGGUACUGACGCUG
rnacentral:rRNA from 1 species